rnacentral:rRNA from 1 species
CUGCAGCCGGAGGGCCCCGGACACAAACCCGGCCGGCGCGUGCCCCGUGCCCCCCGGUAAGAGGCGAGGGCGGCGGAGCCAGAAGUGCCUCCCCACCCCCCGCUGAGCCACGCACUGCGGGUCCGUCCGCACGGGAGCCGGACUGCCGGAUCCCGCGUU